AGUGAACGUUGGCGGCGUGGAUUAGGCAUGCAAGUCGAGCGAGAACCGUAGCAAUACGGGGACAGCGGCGAAAGGGACAGUAAUGUGUAGGUACCUACCCCGAGGUCUGGGAUAGCUGCGGGAAACUGCAGGUAAUACCGGAUAAUGUCUUCGGACCAAAGGUGUGAUUCCACCUUGGGAGGGGCCUGCAUCCUAUUAGCUAGUUGGCGGGGUAAUGGCCCACCAAGGCAACGAUGGGUAGCGGGUGUGAGAGCACGACCCGCGUCAUUGGGACUGAGACACUGCCCAGACACCUACGGGUGGCUGCAGUCGAGGAUCUUCGGCAAUGGGCGAAAGCCUGACCGAGCGACGCCGCGUGCGGGAUGAAGGCCUUCGGGUUGUAAACCGCUGUCGUAGAGGAGGAAAUGCAGGGGGGUUCUCCCUUCUGUUUGACCUAUUCUAGGAGGAAGUACGGGCUAAGUUCGUGCCAGCAGCCGCGGUAA
rnacentral:rRNA from 1 species